GGGCGUAUAGCUCAGGUGGUUAGAGCGUCGAGCUGAUAACUCGAAGGUCCCAAGUUCGAGUCUUGGUACGCCCACCA
rnacentral:tRNA from 8 species